rnacentral:rRNA from 1 species
CAAUAGCGUAUAUUAAAGUUGUUGCAGUUAAAAAGCUCGUAGUUGAAUUUUUGCUUGCCGCCGAUGUCGGAACUUCCGUACGUUCGGCGGCGUGCAUCCUUGGGUGGAACCUGUGUGGCAUUAGGUUGUCGUGCAGGGGAUGUUCAUCGUUUACUGUGAAAAAAUUAGAGUGUUCAAAGCAGGCUUACGCCGUUGAAUAUAUUAGCAUGGAAUAAUAAGAUAGGACCUUGGUACUAUUUUGUUGGUUUGCGCACCGAGGUAAUGAUUAACAGGGACAGUUGGGGGUAUUCGUAUUCCAUUGUCAGAGGUGAAAUUCUUGGAUUUCUGGAAGACGAACUACUGCGAAAGCAUUUACCAAGGAUGUUUUCAUUAA